rnacentral:rRNA from 1 species
GACGAACGCUGGCGGCGUGCUUAACACAUGCAAGUCGAACGGAAAGGCUCCAGCUUGCUGGAGUACUCGAGUGGCGAACGGGUGAGUAACACGUGGGUAAUCUGCCCUGCACUCUGGGAUAAGCCUGGGAAACUGGGUCUAAUACUGGAUAUGACCUUUCUCCUUAUGGGGUUUGGUGGAAAGUUUUUCGGUGUAGGAUGAGCCCGCGGCCUAUCAGCUUGUUGGUGGGGUGAUGGCCUACCAAGGCGACGACGGGUAGCCGGCCUGAGAGGGUGAUCGGCCACAUUGGGACUGAGAUACGGCCCAGACUCCUACGGGAGGCAGCAGUGGGGAAUAUUGCACAAUGGGCAGAAGCCUGAUGCAGCGACGCCGCGUGAGGGAUGACGGCCUUCGGGUUGUAAACCUCUUUCAGCAGGGACGAAGCGUAAGUGACGGUACCUGCAGAAGAAGCACCGGCUAACUAUGUG